AACGCGAAGAACCUUACCUGGGCUUGACAUCCUUGGAAUCUUGCGGAAACGUGAGAGUGCCUUCGGGAACCAAGAGACAGGUGGUGCACGGUUGUCGUCAGCUCGUGUCGUGAGAUGUUGGGUUAAGUCCCGCAACGAGCGCAACCCUCGUGGUCUGUUGUUACAGGUCGUAAGAUGCUGAACCCUCAGGCCAGACUGCCGAUGACAAAUCGGAGGAAGGUGGGGAUGACGUCAAAUCAUCACGCCCCUUAUGUCCAGGGCUACACACGUGUUACAAUGGGAAGCAGACAAUGGGUCGCUUGGCAGCAAUGUCCGGCAAAUCCCCUAAACUGCCCCUCAGUUCGGAUCGUAGUCUGCAACUCGACUACGUGAAGUCGGAAUCGCUAGUAAACGCAGAUCAGCACGCUGCGUUGAAUACGUUCCCGGGCCUUGUACACACCGAGACGUA
rnacentral:rRNA from 1 species